AUUGAACGCUGGCGGCAGGCCUAACACAUGCAAGUCGAGCGGAUGAAGGGAGCUUGCUCCUGGAUUCAGCGGCGGACGGGUGAGUAAUGCCUAGGAAUCUGCCUGGUAGUGGGGGAUAACGUCCGGAAACGGGCGCUAAUACCGAAUACGUCCUGGGGGAGAAAGGGGGGGAUCUUCGGACCUCACGCUAUAAGAUGAGCCUAGGUCGGAUUAGCUAGUUGGUGGGGUAAAGGCCUACCAAGGCGACGAUCCGUAACUGGUCUGAGAGGAUGAUCAGUCACACUGGAACUGAGACACGGUCCAGACUCCUACGGGAGGCAGCAGUGGGGAAUAUUGGACAAUGGGCGAAAGCCUGAUCCAGCCAUGCCGCGCGUGUGAAGAAGGUCUUCGGAUUGUAAAGCACUUUAAGUUGGGAGGAAGGGCAGUAAGUUAAUACCUUGCUGUUUUGACGUUACCAACAGAAUAAGCACCGGCUAACUUCGUG
rnacentral:rRNA from 1 species